AUUGAACGCUAGCGGGAUGCUUUACACAUGCAAGUCGAACGAGUGGCGGACGGGUGAGUAAUAUAUCGGAAUGUGCGCAGUAGCGGGGGAUAACUACUCGAAAGAGUGGCUAAUACCGCAUACUUUAGGAUCGGCCGAUAUCGGAUUGGCUAGUUGGUGGGGUAAAGGCUCACCAAGGCAACGAUCCGUAGCUGGUUUGAGAGGACGAACAGUCACACUGGGACGGAGACACGGCCCAGACUCCUACGUGAGGCAGCAGUGGGGAAUAUUGGACAAUGGGGGAAACCCUGAUCCAGCCAUCCCGCGUGUGUGAGAAGGCCUUCGGGUUGUAAAGUACUUUUGGCAGGGAAGCGGUAUCUGCAGAAUAAGCACCGGCUAACUACGUGCCAGCAGCCGCGGUAAUUC
rnacentral:rRNA from 1 species